GACGGAAGGUGCAAGCGUUGCUCGGAAUCACUGGGCGUAAAGGGUGCGUAGGCGGCUUGGUGGGUCUGGUGUGAAAGCCCCGGGCUCAGCCCGGGAAGGGCACUAGAAACUGCCGAGCUGGAGUGCCGGAGGGGAGAGUGGAAUUCCUGGUGUAGCGGUGAAAUGCGUAGAUAUCUGGAGGAACACCGGUGGCGAAGGCGGCAUCCUGGACCAAUUCUGACACUGAGGAGCGAAAGCCAGGGGAGCAAACGGG
rnacentral:rRNA from 1 species